GUGCUCGCUUCAGCAGCACAUAUACAAAAAUUGGAACAAUACAGGGAAGAUUAGCAUGGCCCCUGCACAAGGACGACAUGCAAAUUCGUGA
rnacentral:snRNA from 1 species